rnacentral:rRNA from 1 species
CUACGGGCGGCAGCAGUGGGGAAUAUUGCACAAUGGGCGCAAGCCUGAUGCAGCCAUGCCGCGUGUAUGAAGAAGGCCUUCGGGUUGUAAAGUACUUUCAGCGGGGAGGAAGGGAGUAAGGUUAAUACCUUUGCUCAUUGACGUUACCCGCAGAAGAAGCACCGGCUAACUCCGUGCCAGCAGCCGCGGUAAUACGGAGGGUGCAAGCGUUAAUCGGAAUUACUGGGCGUAAAGCGCACGCAGGCGGUGUGUUAAGUCAGAUGUGAAAUCCCCGGGCUCAACCUGGGAACUGCAUCUGUUACUGGCAAGCUUGAGUCUCGUAGAGGUGGGUAGAAUUCCAGGUGUAGCGGUGAAAUGCGUAGAGAUCUGGAGGAAUACCGGUGGCGAAGGCGGCCCCCUGGACGAAGACUGACGCUCAGGUGCGAAAGCGUGGGGAGCAAACAGGAUUAGAUACCCGGGUAGUC